AAAUGAUUCAUGGUACUGGGUGAGCUCAUCUGGGAUCUUAGCCUGUGCUGGGAGUGCAGUCUACCAACAAUUAUAGCAGUUUACAGGCUGCAAUAGGAGAAUGAAAGACAGCAAGAAUUUUCUGUCCUGGCACUUUUGUGUGGAGCGACCCAUGAAUGUUUAGAAUUGUCAAGCUUAGUUGCAGGCUAUUAAAAAAAAAUAAAGGGAUUGCACAUUUAAGUGAGAAGGAAAGCACAUGGCCCCACUGUUUCUGGUGUGGUUUGCAGCCUGCAUGAGGCAAAAAAAAAAAAAAAAAAGCACGCAACAGCUUUCUGGCCUGGCAGCUUUUCUGUGAGAGCAGUCGCUGGACAUUUUCAGUUUUGGAGCUGGAAUCUGACACGAGUAAACAAUGCUAUGUACACUGAGGUGGGGAGGAGAGCGCAUACCCCGGAGCUGGUGGAGCGGGUUACGGGCUGCAGUGGAAGAGUGAAGGUCAGCACUGCGUCCUGCCCGGAUGUUUUCUGCGGGAGCGAGGCGCGACGGGCUCGGUCUGGGGCUGCCCUGGGUCCGCAAGGGAGCCCCGCGGUACCCGGAGCCGGCGGGGCGGCUGCCUCGCCCCAUCUAGUGGUUACGGGGAGCGGCGCCGGGCGAAGGGGACAGCCAGCAGCAGCUCUCGGUCCUGACACGUUUGCUGGGGCUCUGCUGCAGCUCCUCAGCAUAACAGCAGCAGCAGAGGCACCAGGGACACCAGGAGCGCCUGCCAAAGCCAGGGUUUCCAGUCCCACUCUAGGACAGCACAGUUCAGCUCCUGAAAAGUUAUGUAGCUGCUUAAAGUUGUUCUACUACUGGCCAUGGAGAGAGAAAAGAAUCUCUGGAGAACAUCCUUUCUGCCCCAAAGCAGAGCCUGAUGGAUAAAGUGCAUCUUAAAAAUUCAGCACUCCACUCUGAUGGCACUGGGAAGAGUUUUCUGCCAUUUGCAGUGUGCACCAGGAUAUUAUCUUGACUCUCAGGAUUGUAAAUGCUGCUGCUGUCACAUCACAGCUUUAGUUGGCGCUUAAAGGGACUUCUUGGGUAAGCUGAAUUCUGUGUUUGAAAGGCCCUUCUGAGUUCUGGUUAUGUCACUAACUACACAAAGUGCGUAAGAAAGUAAAUAUUGUGGAAAGAAAUAAGAGGACAACCAUUGUGUAAAUAAGGGAAAUGCUUGUGUCUAAAACAGGAUUUCAGAUGACUGAUGGUUCAGCAUUACAUUAUUAUGCAUUUUCUGUAUAUCAUUAACAGUCUCCCUCUGUAAUCUGCGUAUUUUUCUAAUAUAAGAUUCCUUUGAUGAUCAUCCAUUUUAUUAUGCUUGGGGAUUUUUCUAAUUACCAGAGUCAGUGCAUCAUUAUUUUUGCUGUUCUUACACUCAUUAAUGAUCUGUGAAGAUUUUUUUCCUUUUAGAUGUUUUUUUCCAGCACAAUACAGCACAUUGAUGUAAUGGGAAGUAUUUUGAAAACCAAACUAAUUUUCCCAAAAACUGUUUCAUGAUAAUUUCCCAUUUUCUGUUGAAGCCAAGACACAAGUUUGUAAUCUUGGUGUCAGAAUGCUGUCUACAUGUUCUGGAAAUGCUGAGACUGAACACAUUCUCCAAUAGCAGUGUUGCAAUGAUUUAUUCUGGAUCCUUUUAAGACUGACUCUUGGUGCUUUUUAUGUGCUCAACCAGUUGUACUUGAGCUUAGGUGAAUCUCAGGUCUUCAAAUCUCAAGCAGUGUUUUAGAAGUAAAUGAGAUACUUCAAGUAUAAAAUAGCACAUCUUGAGACUGGAAUACCAAAACUAGAAUGCAAUAAAGCUGAAUUCAUUUAGGAAAAUAUCUGCUAGGAGUCAAAACUGAGAACAGAAAUUCUCAAGCACAGACAAUGAAAGAAAAGAACUUAAAAGGAACAAUGACUAUGGGGUUUAUAUUGUUUAUAAGAAAGCAAAUCCAAAUACAAUGUUUUGGAUAUCUCCUUUGUGAAAGAAGCACAAACCAAGUUUGGAAGCACAGAUCCACUCUCAAUUCAGUCUUUGAAAUAUGGAUCAAAGUUGUCUGCACCACAGAGGCAUCAGUCAGCUCUGCUCUUCUUAUCUUUCUUUUGGCAUCCGCUUUGUAUCUCAUUGGGACAACUUCAAAAUUAUUUUCUGCUAUAAAUUUUGAGAGACUUUUUCCCCCUGAAAUUGAAAGACAUAAGUGACAUCUCUAAAGGGUGACUGCUUCUGUCUAGCACAGAGCUGGUGGAGCUGUGGUCGAUAAAGAUUAAUCCUGUCUGACAUACUGCUGGUUCAAUUACCAAACUAGAAACUCUGCAGAUAAGUUAUAUCAACUUGAAAUGAAAUUUUAAAGUAAUUUUCUGUUGAGGUGGUCAAACAAAACAGUUGGGUUGAACUCUACAGUUUGAACUAUUUAGAUCAGAAAUCAGCAGAAACUAAGGUGAGGAUUGUGUACCACUCAUGAAAUGGAAGAUUAGGAGCAGCUCAAUACCAAUCGUGGGGAAAAGGAAUAUCCCUGGAAUAAAGAACAGUGGUUCAAAUGCCCCAUUCCAAAGUUUUGUGUGUGUCCUCAGUGCUCUGUGCCAUUCACUGUGCUGAGAUGGAUGGAGGACACAGGCACCCUCACAAUUUCUUCCCCAUCAGUUAACCAUGGUUAAGAGGUUCAUGGGUUAAUAUUUAAACCUUGGGUCAGCUCCAAGGUUUAAAUAUUAUUUGGGACAAAGAAACCUGGUUUUCCUUCAUAAGCCUCCUUCUGGGAGCUCUUCUUCAGGAUCAUCCUUCUCCUCCUGCUGUGCACAGCAGUCUGGAUUCAUGCUUGGAGAUGAGAGAUGGGCAUCAAGAUGCUGUGUCUGCCUUCCUGUGUCCUUCUUUGGCAUGAAAUCUGGAUCCCUGUACCAGGCUGCUCCAUGGCAGCACCUCCAUCAGUAGCAUCUGGAAAACUGUCACAUGAGUCACCAUCACUCAUCAGUGACACCAGUAGCUUCAUGCUUGCUCCCUGGGGUUAUUCAUGCAGAUUUUCAUGCUGAAAUUGGCAGGACAUACUGCCCAGGUGAAGCCAUGAUUUCAAGGCAACCUGAUGCAUUCUUUCAGAAAAAAAUAAAUAAACUCUCUUCUGUGUUGUUAGAGCCGUGUAUCUAUGCAGUGAGGCUUCUCAAGUCCACAAGCUGUGUGAUCAAAGCUCCAUUCUGCCUCCUCUUCUCCCAGCUCAGUGGAAUUUUGCUGAACAUAUGUGAAGCCACAUAAGGGUUUCUGGGAUCAUUUUGGCACAUUAAGUCAGUAGGACUGAGGCUGUUAUUUCUCCUCAUCUCCAUGGUAACCUCUCACAAACUGAUAUUUUACCCACAUGCAAAUGCUUAACAAGGAGCAUAUGCAAUUCAAUGCUACAGGAGGUUAUGUUAAAAAGCCUCCUGUACAAUAACCAUGGUUGUUCUGCUGUAAACUGUGCUCCACAGUUGGAGUUCUGGCUGAAAAGCUUUUGAAGUCUUUUGAAACUGUUAUUUUCUGUCUCAGGUGAAAUGGGCUAAAAAAUAUCUGUUUCCCCUGGUUCUCCUAACAGCUUGUCAGUGUCACACUGGAGGAAAGGGAUGUCAUCCAAAGGGACCUGUUCAGACUGACAAGGUGGACUUUUGUGAGCCUUGUGAAGUCCAGCAAGGCCAAGUACAAGGUCCUGGAGUGGGGUAGGGACAAUUCCAUAGCACAAAGAGAGGCUAGGUGGAGAAUGGAUUGAGAGCAGCCCUGAGCAGAAGGAUUUGGUGGCACGGAUGAACAAGAAGCAUGCCAUGAGCCAGCAAUAUGCAGUCACAGCCCGGAAAGCCAAGCCCAUCCUGGUCUGCAUCCAAAGCAGUGUGGGCAGCAAGGCAAGGGAGGGGAUUCUGCCCCUCUGCUCUGCCCUUAUGAGACCCCAUCUGGAGAGCUGCAUCCAGCUCUGGGGUUCCCAACACAAGAAUGUGGUCAUGCUGAAACAAGCCCAGAGGAGGACAGGAGGAUAUUCAGAGGGCUGGAACACCUCUGCUAGAAAACAGGCUCAGAAAGCUGGAGUUUUUCAGCCUCAAGGAGGGGAGGCUCUGGGGAGACCUCAGAGUUCCUUCCAGUGCCUAAAGGGGCUGCAAGAGAGCUGGAGAAGGACUUUAGACAAAGGUGUGGAGUGACAGGACAAGGGGCAAUGACUUCAUAUUGAAAGAGGGAAGGUUUAGAUUCGAAAUUAGAAAGAAAUUCUUUCCUGUGAGGGUGGUGAGGCACCGGCACAGGUUGUCCAGAGAAGCUGUGCCUGCUCCAUUCCUGGACAUGUUUAAGGACAGGCUGGAUGAGGCUUUGAACAACCUGGUCAAGUGGAAGGUGUUGAAACUAGGUUGUCUUUAGGGUCUCUUUCAACCCAAAACGUUCUACAAUGCAUUUUCGUGCCUUAUCAACAUGAGUUCCUUCAGAGAUCUUAAGCAAGUACAGUGUGUGUACAAGCACUGUUCUUCCCACUUCUGCAUCAAUAGCGUUCUAUUGUCUGGUUAGAAUUUGGAGUUCCCUUUGUGCUCCUUUGGCUUCCUCAAUGGGUUCCCAAAUUUCCUGUCUGACUUGGCAUUGGUGCCCUGGCUGGACUCUUGCCACCCUCUGCCAACCAAAACCCCACACAGCCCUUUUUUGGUUAUGCCAUCAGUUAACCUUAUCAUGGAAAACAACCUGUCCAGCAAGCAGGAUGUUUCUGACUCGGGAUGUCAGUUCUUCACUGCUCAGCACUGGGAGGAAGCUGUCAUCCAUGUUCAUGAGAGCCCUACAAAAAAAGCAGCUGGAUCCAAGCCUCCACUCGCGUUCUCCUUUGUCAACUCCUGAACAUUGGAACCAAAGAAUUUGGGCUGCAGGCACUUGGCACUGACCUGCACUUGUGUGGUGUCCAUGGCCAUUCCCAGAAGAGCUGCCCAGGUGGAGUCUCAGAUCAAACCUCAGCAGUUUGCGCAGGCACCCCACAUCAGCUGACCUGUGAUACCUGGUCGUGCACAUGUUCUUGCACCACCUCAAUCCAAGGAAAGAAAAAAAAAAAAUAAAGCGGCAAUUGCAUGAAAUUCACCAGGCUGGAGACUUGCUGACCGAGGGGCUGGGUGAAGAAGGGACAGUAGGAGAUGGGAAAAUGAAAACACUUUUAUCAUGAGAAAGUGAUUUGCAGAUUAAAGUAUCUGACCCUGAAAACAAACUAUCGCCCUGGAAACGCAGCUUCCGGGAAAACUCAAGUUCAGGAACUAAACCACAGUAAUUUCUCAUGUUAUUUUAGUGCAGCAAAAGGAGAGAAAAAACAAGCUUUUAAUUCAGCAAUUUGUUUUCUUUGACAGUGGAAUCAAUAUCUGGGGAAAGGUCUAUUCAAUUUAUGUGAUCCAGCAGAAAGAAAAAUGAGGUGAGGGGAGUUACUUCUGAUAGAUCUGAUUGCAUGAUACUGAUACCCCCCCUUGAAUCCAUCCAUCAUUAUAUUAGUAAAAGGUAAAGUACCGAUACAAUCGCUGAAAUGGAAAUAUCUGCUUUAAAAAGGGAUUACUUGUUUUGAAUUUCUUUUACUGAAAAAUUAAAGGAUUUCAGCAUUUUAGAGUAAUAAA